rnacentral:rRNA from 1 species
GAUGAACGCUGGCGGCGUGCCUAAUACAUGCAAGUCGAGCGAACAGAUGAGGAGCUUGCUCCUCUGACGUUAGCGGCGGACGGGUGAGUAACACGUGGAUAACCUACCUAUAAGACUGGGAUAACUUCGGGAAACCGGAGCCAAUACCGGAUAAUAUAUUGAACCGCAUGGUUCAAUAGUGAAAGACGGUUUUGCUGUCACUUAUAGAUGGAUCCGCGCCGCAUUAGCUAGUUGGUAAGGUAACGGCUUACCAAGGCAACGAUGCGUAGCCGACCUGAGAGGGUGAUCGGCCACACUGGAACUGAGACACGGUCCAGACUCCUACGGGAGGCAGCAGUAGGGAAUCUUCCGCAAUGGGCGAAAGCCUGACGGAGCAACGCCGCGUGAGUGAUGAAGGUCUUCGGAUCGUAAAACUCUGUUAUUAGGGAAGAACAAAUGUGUAAGUAACUAUGCACGUCUUGACGGUACCUAAACAGAAAGCCACGGCUAACUACGUG